GUGCGGCCUGAAAAACAGAGCUGCGCCCUUGUAAAUCAUCACUAUAACUUACGGCGCAGCCACGAUUUCCCUGGUGUUGGCGCAGUGUUCGCGCACCCCGGUCAAGCC
rnacentral:sRNA from 1 species